UCAAAUAAUACAAGAUCAUUUUCCUUUUUAAUAAAGCAAUUGAUUAAAAAGAACCACCUUGCUCCUAAGUCUCUUGUUAAUUUUAUUACUUUUGUGUGAUCAAACUUGCUACUUCUUCUUACAUUUUUUGCAUCAUCACUCUUGCAUCUUUCUGGUCUUAAAAGGAAGAAUACUGUGAUGCAUCAAAAUCAUAGUAUCGUGGAUGUAUGAAUUCAGCAACAAACAACUUGUUGUCUUUAUUACUAGCUUUUUUGGCUUAUUAACCUUUCUAAUUUAUUAUUUCAAGUGGAUGUGUUAAUUCAGCAUCAAACACCUUUUUUUUUUUUUUUUUGUGGUAAAUAACAAAAAACUUCUUACCUUUAUUACUAGCUUUUUUGGCUUAUUAACCUUUCUAAUUUAUUAUUUCAGGUGGGGAAUGUGAUGAUUUUCUUUAUAUUCAAUAUUCAGUGGGAGGCACGUCAAUGAUUUUAAGAAAGGCCCAUCACACCUUAUAACAUGUCUGGCCAAAUUUAAAUGCCUAAAACAAUUGGUUAAAAAAGAUCCAACACCUCUCUCAAAAAUCAAGAAAAUUACAAAAUUUUAGUCCUUUAUGUUUGAGAUUAAGUUUAAAAGAGUUUCUUAAAUAUGUUCUUGAGCAAUUCUGAUUUAAAAUAAUAAAAGUUACUAGCAUUUUUAGUGUUUGUAUAAAUAUUUAACAAACAAUGAUUGUUAGAUUUAACGAGAAUUGUGAAAAAAGUUUUAACGAAAACUCACAUUUGCAGGUACAUUUUUUGUUUAUUUCUAGUGUCUGGUGCGGUUCUUGUUCAUUUUUUUUUUUUUUUUUUUGAGGUGCUUGUCUACUUCUGAUGUAUGGUUGAGUUCUUGCUGUUGCAGUUUCUAAAAUUUGAUAGGACUUUUUGAGUUUUCUGUUUACAUUAUUGUUCUUUUCACAGUUCUAUCAAAUCUAACGCGUUUGUUAAAUAUUUGAGGAAGACAAAAAUAUUUGCUUUUGCAAACUUAAAGGACUGCUCAGGAGCAUAAUUGAUAGACUGUUGAAGAUCUACCCAACUAUAAGGAUCAUAUUUUGGAAAUCAAUAUGAUAUCAAGUCUCAAAUGUCUUCUAUAACAGACAAAAGGUUGUUGGUUAGGGAGGCUAGUCAUUGGUUUUAAGAAAGAACCAUCACAUCUUAUUACAUGUCGAUCAAAUUUAAAUGCCCAAAAUAGUUGAUUAAAAAAGAACCAACAUCUCUCUCUUAAAUCAAUAAAUAACAAAAUCUAGUCCUUUAUGUUCAAGGUUAAGUUUAUAAUGGUUUCUUAAAAUGUUCUUGUGCAAUUUUGAUCUUUUAAAUUUAUAAAAAAUAGCAUUUUUGGUGUGUGUCAAAUAUUUAACAAACUAUGGUUGUUAAAUUUAAUGAGAAUUGUGAGGGAAAGAAAAGUUUAACGGAAACUCAUAUUUGCAAGUACAUUUUUUAUUUAUUUUUA